AUGGCGUCCUCUUCCUGCUUCCUUCUGGUUGCUCUUAUCGCGUUGGCCUCAUGGCAGGCCAUGGCUUCUGAUCCAAGCCCUCUCCAGGACUUCUGUGUGGCUGACAAUAGCUCACGCGUGUUUGUUAAUGGGUUUGUUUGCAAAGACCCAAAGGAGGUGACUGCGGAGGACUUCUUCUUAGCGGCCAAACUUGACAUGCCUAGGGACACAAAGAUGAGCAAAGUGGGAUCCAUUGUCACACUGCUCAAUGUCAUGAGGAUCCCCGGUCUCAACACACUGGGUAUCUCCUUAGCACGCAUUGACUAUGCACCUUUGGGGGAGAACCCUCCACACACUCAUCCUCGUGCCUCUGAGAUCCUCACCGUGCUUGAAGGGACACUUUAUGUUGGCUUUGUCACAUCUAACCCAGAGAACAAGCUCAUUUGGAAGGUCCUCAACAAGGGUGAUGUGUUUGUUUUCCCACAAGGACUCAUCCACUUCCAGUUCAACCCCAACCCCUACAAGCCAGCAGUUGCAAUUGCCGGACUUAGCAGCCAAAACCCUGGAGCCAUAACCAUUGCGAAUGCUGUGUUUGGUUCGAAGCCGCCAAUCUCAGAUGAUGUUUUGGCCAAGGCCUUUCAGGUGGAGAAGAAGACCGUGGACUGGCUCCAGGCUCAAUUCUGGGCUGACAACCACAAUUAG
rnacentral:rRNA from 1 species